rnacentral:sRNA from 1 species
GGACUAGGACUAGAUGCUGGUGCUGGA